CCCUUAGAUGUCCUGGGCCGCACGCGCGCUACACUGACAUGUUCAACAAGUUUCUCCUAGUUCGACAGGACUGGGAAAUCUUUGAACGCAUGUCGUGAUAGGGAUAGAUCAUUGCAAUUAUUGAUCUUGAACGAGGAAUUCCUAGUAAACGCAAGUCAUCAGCUUGCAUUGAUUACGUCCCUGCCCUUUGUACACACCGCCCGUCGCACCUACCGAUUGAAUGGUCCGGUGAAAUCUCCGGACUGGCGUGAGUCGGAGCAAUCUGACAAACACCGGAAAGUUGAUUAAACCUUACCAUUUAGAGGAAGGUGAAGUCGUAACA
rnacentral:rRNA from 1 species